UUGUAAUCGGCAAAAGGUAACUAGCGUCAACAUGGAUUUCGAAGCUAACGCUAAACUUGGUGUAACUGAAAAUUCGGUGUGGUUUUAUUACUUACGCGGAAAACAAAAUCGCGAAAUAGCCAAAUGUAUACGGUGUUCAAAAGUGAUUAAAUGUGAAGGUUCGAGCACGAGCGGUUUAAAGACUCAUCUCAAGGGACAGCAUAAUAUUGACCUAACCUUGAAAAAACAUGCAGCUUCUUGCGAUAUCCGGCCUUCAAAAUCAGCUACAAGUUCAAAAAAUUCAAACAUUAUGCAGUAUUUUUCCAAUGUAUCUCAGCUAGAAAUAGUUUUGGCUCGAAUGGCUGCCAAGGACUGCAUUUCAUUCAGAACUAUUGCCAGGUCCGAAGAUAUACGUCAGGGCCUGCUCGCUCGAGGCUUCACCGGAAUCCCGAAAACUCAUGACGGUGUAAGACAAAAGGUAAAGUCUUAUCAUGAGUUUGUGAUUCAAGAAUACCGUAAGCAGUUCGAUGAAAUAAAAAAGGAGCACCGCAAAAUCAGUUUGACUUUUGAUGAAUGGACAUCAAAUAGAAAUCGUAGGUACAUGAACAUAAAUGUCCAUGCCUCCAAACAAACCUGGAAUCUCGAACUACGGCGAAUUUUCGGAUCGAUGACAGCAGAUAAUUGUUUGUCUCUACCUAAUCAACAUCUUAACGAGUUAAAUUUGUCACUUUCGGAUGACGUUAUGGCAGUGACAACAGAUGGACCACAUAUAAUGCUGAAAGUGGGAAUAUUAUUGAAUGCCACUCAUCAAGUUUGCUUGGCACACGGUAUCCAUUUGGCGGUUAUUGGCGUUCUGUAUAGGAAGAAGUCCGAAGAUGCCGAGUUUUUCUUGAAGAGUGAUGGCUCAGAUGACGACCACGACUCAGAUGCUGUCGAAUCGCAAUUUUUUGCAACCGAAACUGACGGAGGAGCAUCACCUAUACUAAAACCCCAAAUAUCGGAAAUUGUCAAGAAAGUUCGCACCGUAAUAAGUUUUUCGACAGUCACCAGUAAAAAACGACAUUCUCCAAAACUAUGUCCGCUCUGAAGUUGGAACAGAGCUUACUUUGUUAUCGGAUUGUAAAACACGCUGGAAUAGUCUUCUUCCAAUGCUCAAGCGAUUUUAUAAUUUGAAGGGCCCGAUUCGAUGCACUUAAGGAAAAAAUCAAGGAAAGACGAUCGGAAUAUUCAGACCUUUUCGCAACUCUAUGCAAUAGCAACGUGAAAGGAUCCUUGAAAUAUGAUUUUGGAAUUUUCUUUAGGACAUCACGGACGACUUUAGUAAAGCAAGCUGAAGAAAUUAUAAAGAGAAUCACAACUACUAAUGGAUUGGACAACGAGGGGGAAAAGAUGGCUACGAGUGAUCAUGAGCACGACGACGUUAUGGUUGAUGAUGGGUUGUCGCUCAAUGAAGACGCUCAGAAAUGAAUUUGCAUUUUACGAAUCCGAAGGAAUCGAAGGUAAAUACCUCUCUAUUCUUCACGAUGCUCUUGAAACAGUUCGUCCAACUUCGGUUGAACCUGAGAGAGCAUUGGCCUCAGCUGG